AAUACAUGCAAGUCGAGCGGACAGAAGGGAGCUUGCUCCCGGACGUUAGCGGCGGACGGGUGAGUAACACGUAGGUAACCUGCCCCUUAGACUGGGAUAACUCCGGGAAACCGGAGCUAAUACGGGAUAAUAAAGAGAAUCACCUGAUUUUCUUUUGAAAGACGGUUUCGGCUGUCACUAAGGGAUGGGCCUGCGGCGCAUUAGCUAGUUGGUAAGGUAACGGCUUACCAAGGCGACGAUGCGUAGCCGACCUGAGAGGGUGAUCGGCCACACUGGGACUGAGACACGGCCCAGACUCCUACGGGAGGCAGCAGUAGGGAAUCUUCCGCAAUGGACGAAAGUCUGACGGAGCAACGCCGCGUGAGUGAGGAAGGCCUUCGGGUCGUAAAGCUCUGUUGUGAGGGAAGAACAAGUACCGGGGUAACUACCGGUACCUUGACGGUACCUCACCAGAAAGCCACGGCUAACUACGUGCCAGCAGCCGCGGUAAUACGUAGGUGGCAAGCGUUGUCCGGAAUUAUUGGGCGUAAAGCGCGCGCAGGCGGCUUCUUAAGUCUGAUGUGAAAUCUCGGGGCUCAACCCCGAGCGGCCAUUGGAAACUGGGAAGCUUGAGUGCAGAAGAGGAGAGUGGAAUUCCACGUGUAGCGGUGAAAUGCGUAGAUAUGUGGAGGAACACCAGUGGCGAAGGCGACUCUCUGGUCUGUAACUGACGCUGAGGCGCGAAA
rnacentral:rRNA from 2 species